rnacentral:lncRNA from 1 species
CUUCCUUCUUCACUUCCUGCUAAAUGGCUUGUUUCUUCGACAGUUGAGAGGUUUUAAGCCUUGCUUUUAUACAUGAAGACAUCGGUCGAGAAACAGCGUUUUGAGUUAACAACAGAGAAGGACGUCUCUGUGACUGUUCGGUCUACAUUUGGGUUGCACUCUACCAGCACCGUCCCAUUGCUGACUGGAGGAUUUCCAAGUAGGAUGCAGACAUGCAGUGUGAGCCAGACAUGUUGGAGGAACUUUUAGCUAAACCAUGAUUUACGAAGAAAGCAAGACAUAGAAGACCAAGAAGAUCAGUAGAUCACUGGAGAAAUACAACAGGGACACCUGCAGUCUGAAGGACAAUAAAAAGAUGGACGCCAGCAAAGUAUGGCAGUGGCGCAUUAUGCGUGUGAAGACAUAUUUG